UUGAGCCGUAUGAGUGCGAAAGUCUCAUGUACGGUUCUUAGGGGAGGGGAGAGCGGUAACGCUCAAACCUUACCCGAC
rfam:Tolypothrix bouteillei VB521301 scaffold_0, whole genome shotgun sequence.